GUGGGCAGAAUUAUUGCCUCCGAUUCCUUUCCUUUCCUUUCUUCUUACUUUCGCUUAUUUAUUGGCUUUACCACUCACUCCACUCCUUAUUCUCUUCUUUACUUCUUCCUUGACCUACUCCUCUUGUAGCUCUUGCUCUGCUACCAUCUCUCCUGUAUUUGUUUCUACGCUCACCACCACCUCUUGAAGUUACAGAAACCAUGAGGAUGAUGAUAGACUUGGGAAACCAACGAGGUCCACUGCCUAUAAUGGACCCUCCAACCUCCGUAGACUGUGGCAGGGAGGUUCGCUUCCGCAGAUCCUUUAGGUCACUCGUGGAAUGCAUGGUCCCCUGCUGUGGAUUUCAACCAUCCGAUUCCCUUUCCAGCGACACCGACUCUACUCACGGCUCCACUGUAACCGGCACCUUCUUUGGUUACAGAAAGGGUCGCGUUAGUUUUUGCCUCCAGGACGAUACCCGCUGCUCUCCUCUUCUACUUCUUGAGUUUGCAGUUCCCACCGCAUGCCUAGCCAGGGAGAUGCAGUACGGUCUGCUCCGUAUAGCUCUAGAGUGUGACCGACAAAAGGAGAGGUCCAGCUCUUGCUCCAUCUUCAACGUACCGGUGUGGUCCAUGUACUGCAAUGGGAGGAAGGUUGGAUUUGCCAUCAGGAGGCCAAUGACGGUGAACGAUGUGGGUGUUCUCAAGAUGAUGCAGUCGGUCUCCGUAGGUGCAGGAGUUUUGUCGGUGGCGCCCCAGUCUGAGGAUGGAGACCUCAUGUAUCUACGUGCCAGUUUCGAAAGAGUCAUUGGUUCUGCCGACUCAGAAUCUUUUCACAUGAUUAAUCCUGUUGGGAGUUCUGGGCAAGAACUAAGCAUAUUUCUCUUGAGAUCAUGACUACAACUUCAUUUCGCUUCAUAUUUAAAAAUGUAUAUAUAAAAAUUUUUUCUUCUUCUUGAUUAAAUAGCUCAUCUGCAUAUGUAAAAUAUUUUUUCUUUUUAUAUCUUUCGAGUUGAUCAUCUAUUACCAAUGGAAUUUGCAAAAAUGUGUAAUCUUAAUUAAUUCCCAUAUCCAUUUU
rnacentral:misc_RNA from 1 species